GACAUGUGCCACAAUGGGUCAGUGCAUCUGGUUGUUAACCAGAAGGUUAGUGGUUCAAGUCCACCCAGGGACA